GUCCACGCCCUAAACGAUGUCUACUAGUUGUCGGGUUUUAAUUAACUUGGUAACGCAGCUAACGCGUGAAGUAGACCGCCUGGGGAGUACGGUCGCAAGAUUAAAACUCAAAGGAAUUGACGGGGACCCGCACAAGCGGUGGAUGAUGUGGAUUAAUUCGAUGCAACGCGAAAACCUUACCUACCCUUGACAUGGCAGAAAUCCCGAAGAGAUUUGGGAGUGCUCGAAAGAGAAUCUGCACACAGGUGCUGCAUGGCUGUCGU
rnacentral:rRNA from 1 species